rnacentral:rRNA from 1 species
UACGGAGGGUGCAAGCGUUAUCCGGAAUUACUGGGUUUAAAGGGUGCGUAGGCGGUGGGAUAAGUCAGUUGUGAAAUUCCGUGGCUUAACCAUAGGGACUGCGAUUGAUACUGUUUCACUUGAAUCAGGUUGAGGUGAGCGGAAUGUGGCAUGUAGCGGUGAAAUGCAUAGAUAUGCCAUAGAACACCGAUUGCGAAGGCAGCUUGCUGGACCUGUAUUGACGCUGAGGCACGAAAGCGUGGGGAGCGAACAGG